GAGUUUGAUCCUGGCUCAGGAUGAACGCUAGCGGCAGGCCUAAUACAUGCAAGUCGAGGGGCAGCGCGGGUAGCAAUACCUGGCGGCGACCGGCGCACGGGUGCGUAACACGUAUACAAUCUGCCUUUAACAGGGGGAUAGCCCGGAGAAAUCCGGAUUAAUACCCCACUAAUAUAUUGAGUGGCAUCACUUGUAUAUUGAAAGCUCCGGCGGUUAGAGAUGAGUAUGCGCCUGAUUAGUUAGUUGGUGAGGUAACGGCUCACCAAGACUUCGAUCAGUAGGGGAUCUGAGAGGACUACCCCC
rnacentral:rRNA from 1 species